GCAAUACUGUGUGGAUCCAGCUGCUGAGUGGCUCCAAAAGAGACUUAAGAGGUUAGAACAGAGAGGAAUAAAAUGUACAGAGCUUUAACAGAGCCUUCAAUAACCAAGAUAAGGAUGAUGCAACAUGACCUUCUGAGCAGAAUGGUGGCGCUAAUUUCUGUUAAACUUUUCUAACUUUGAUCAAAUGUUUUACUUUCUCUAUUUUUCAAUACAUAUUUACCAGUGGCUUGGCAAAAAUCUUACUAUCUUAUAAGCAAAUUAAAAAAGAUGUGAAAAA